GCAGGGUUUCGGUUGGUCCCUGCAAAGUUGCAUGAGAGAGGCCACGAUCUUCCUGAUUCGCUUGCUACUUGCAAAGAAGGCUGAGAACUUAUCAGCCAAAUCUGAGAAUGAGGCUAUGGAGUUGGGCUCCAAUGUCGAGAACCAAUCCCUAGUAGCAUUAGUUAGCGUUUGUGGAAAGGGUUUGCACGUAACCUAAUCCGAUGCAACUUGCAAGUUCAUGACAUCAGUGUAUACAUUGAGAUGGUUGAUGGGGUCGGUCAUCCAAUCAUACUCUUUAAUGCGAGGAUACUUGAAUCUGUCGGGCAAGGGAUAUGUCAAUAUCUCUGGCAUGAAUGGAGUGUUAGGGGUGAAACCUGUUAACCCCCGAGCAUUACGUUGCAGGCUAGCUGUAAUUCCUUCUUGAAUGAUCCGGGCAAUUUCACCGGAAUCUAUGGCGACCGAUCUCGAGCCCGAGGCCAUAUUAUGAAUGCUCGAUGUUCCAACUCCGCCAUUUGCUGGGUUUGGUGGUCGUGCUCGAGCAUUGGCCAUAAAACCGCCAUGCUCCGCCUGCGCUGGCAACGGAUGUGAAUUUCUUUGACUUAAAAGUUGCGUGAGCGUGGCCACCUGCUGACGAAGCUCUUCAAAGGCUUCGAUUGUAAUGACUGCUGGCAGAGGUGUGGGCACUCCCGAGGAUUCUUCAUGAGGAGUCGGUUGAUCUUCGGCAGGAUGAGGGAUGGGAGCGGAUGAGCUUGCAGGAGGAAGACCUACUCACGUGUUAACCAUGGCUUUUGGUAGCGAUUCCCACAGACGGCGCCAAGAUGAUUCAGGUUGAUCACGAUCGUAGUCUUCCGAUACCUAAAACAAAGGCAACGAGGUGUGUUCUCG
rnacentral:lncRNA from 1 species